AGUGAACGCUGGCGGUAGGCCUAACACAUGCAAGUCGAACGGCAGCACAGUAAGAGCUUGCUCUUACGGGUGGCGAGUGGCGGACGGGUGAGGAAUACAUCGGAAUCUACUUUUUCGUGGGGGAUAACGUAGGGAAACUUACGCUAAUACCGCAUACGACCCACGGGUGAAAGCAGGGGAUCUUCGGACCUUGCGCGAUUGAACUAGCCGAUGUCGGAUUAGCUAGUUGGCGGGGUAAAGGCCCACCAAGGCGACGAUCCGUAGCUGGUCUGAGAGGAUGGUAGGCCACACUGGAACUGAGACACGGUCCAGACUCCUACGGGAGGCAGCAGUGGGGAAUAGUGGACAAAGGGCGCAAGCCUGAUCCAGCCAUACCGCGUGGGUGAAGAAGGCCUUCGGGUUGUAAAGCCCUUUUGUUGGGAAAGAAAAGCAGCAGGUUAAUACCCCGCUGUUCUGACGGUACCCAAAGAAUAAGCACCGGCUAACUUCGUG
rnacentral:rRNA from 1 species